AAUUCAGCCCAAGGCUAUAAAGACGUCCUCAAGUCUUCCGGCUACUCCUUUGGCCAGCGAUGACGGCAGCCCGGUCUCUGCAGGAGAGCUCAUCCUGCCUCUGGCUGCUUGCCUUCAAGGGAAGAGAGAGGAAGGAAUAGAAAGAAAGAAGGAAGGAAGUUCCUGCCGCACACGGAGAAAUUGAUUUUGACAUUUCCAUCCUCAUGAGAAGAUUCUGAUGGAAGACUUUGUGCACAGCUGAACGACUGAGUGAUGUAGGGUGGACUCAAAGGUCCUAGAGAAAAUAAACGAAGUGGCC